GGGCCCGUAGCUCAGCUUGGCUGGAGCGCUCGGCUGAUAACCGGGAGGUCCUGGGUUCAAAUCCCAGCGGGCCCACCA
rnacentral:tRNA from 1 species